CGUUCGCGUCUGUCCACCAGGGAGCCCCAGAUAAGAACGCGGCCCCAGCACCCGGAUGGCCCAACAUCCACUGUCAGCAGGUGUGAGUCAAGAUGAGAGACCCAAAACUUCCAUCCUCUAUGUGUGUGAAGAAGAAACAGCAAGAGGCAGGAAGCAGGGUUCCUGAAAGCCAAGCUGACCGGAAAGAAUCGUGUGCUGAAUCCUCCCAACUUGUCGCCGAGAGUGGCUGGAGUGAGAGGUGCUGCUGGGAACGUCACGUCAAACUUCACGGCGAAAAAGCAAACUUUGCAUGUCAGUGUGGGCGGCGUCGAGUUGGGAUGCUCCGGGCUUCUCAGCAUCUCUGAGUGAGUGCGUGGAGAUUCCUACAGGGAUUUACCAUCCAGAGGAAAGGUUCUAGGUUUCCUUCCCGAAGGUUCCUCGAAAGCUGAGUUCAGAUCAGCAUGCCAUGAGGCACGGCCUGUGCCUCUUCCCAAGGCGUGCUACACACACUGUUCUAGAAGGUGGCCCGGCUGCGCUGGGAGGAGGGCCCGCUAGCCGAGAGCCACCCAGGACUCAGGUACGCCUGGACCUUGACAAGGAUGCCCCGGCCUUUUGCACGUUGUCUGGGCUUUUGUUGGCUGGCAAGGAUUUUGUUUUCCAGGGAGGAGCCUUCGCUCCCCUUGAGUGAGAGAGAAUAAGCCUGGGCCCGGGAGGCACAUGGAGGUGCUAGUCUGAAGGAGUUGACUCUUAGAAACCACAGCACAGAUGCCUGAAGCCGAGGAAACUCCUGCAGUGGUGGGCACCACAGAGUCUUGGAAGAGAGAAUGCUCUACCCCCUGCUCCCCCGAGGAGAGGCUGGGACACCUCGUGCUGAGGGGCCAGGAUGGCCGGCCCCUGCUGGGUCCGCAUAGAAAGAGCCGGGUGCUCCUUUUGGUACCUUGGUUGGCGAUUCUGUAUGGCUUCAUACACAACUCUACUCAAGCAAAGAUGCUAAGCCUGUGGACACUGGAGCUCAGCUCCGUCACUGUGCGUGGAGAAGCCUCCAGAGCCCCAGAAGACCCCCGCCCAGGGGGUGACAUCAGUUGGGGAGCUAUUAAUAACCGCCCUCCCCUCCCUGUCAUAUUUCCUGAACUGUGUGGGGAAGGCGAUUGUGAGGCGCUCUGCUGGAAUUUGGCAGCGCGGAGGCUUGGAGAGCAGCCCCAUGCUGGCUCCUAUUCAGCCGGCCAGUUUUCCUCGAGCUUUGGAAGUUUCACUCAGCCGUGCACUCAAUGGCUUCACAAAGCUGAUUACAAGCUUCAGCGCAUUCCUGAAGGAGCCAAAAGCGACGCAGGUGCAAACGAGCCGAGGGAGCCCCUUAUCCCGGUGACAGAAUGGGACAAGCUGGGAAAGGCUUGGACCACACAAAUCCAAGGCUCACCAGGCAGCGGAGAGCUUGCCUUGGGAACCGGGGGUCAUUAUCCGCCCUAUUCAGCGGGGCCGGGGACCCUGGGGCUGGGGAGGCCGGCCGGGCGCAAGCGCCACCGCCAGGGCUCGCCCGAGGCGGCGGGGACCCCGCUGGGCGCUGCCGCCCGUCGGGAUGCUGAGCGCUGUUUGUUCCCACCGACGGCGUCCGUGAAAUCCACCGUGCUCCUGAGAGCCGGCGUCCACACUCACGGGCAUUCGGGAGAAGGAGGGCGGUGGAGAUGCGCGGGGCGUGGACAGCGCGUGACUUGGGUCACCAAGGCUGCGCUGGCUGUUCCUGCCGCCGGUCACUCUCGGCUCUACCCCUAACCCCUCCGGCCUCUGCCGAGAGCGACCUCCGCAAAUCUCCAUCACAGUCACUUAUCUGGAAACCUGCGGCUGGAUUAAUCGCUAUAUUCCCAAGAUGAGCGCUGCUGCCAUCCGCAGUGAACGCGGGUGGGGACACGGAAGCAUCCGUCUGGGCUCGGGUGGGGUUGUUUGGGCACAGAGGCGCACAGAAGAUGUGGAAGAGGAGGGGCCAGGCCUGUGGGGACCCUGGCGUGAGAAAGGUUGGUUGGCCCUCGGUAAAGGCACAGAACUGCCUGUGCAAAUAAAGGGCUUUAGACCUCACAGAAAUGACGCUUCGGACCCUUCAGACUGAGGCCUAUUUAGAUGCACAAAAAAAACAAAAAAAAAAAAGUUUCCCUCCCGUCUUGAUUUUCCAACUUCAGUGCGACCACACCCACCGCUGCGCCUUAAGCCCCUCCCCCGGGAUUUAACCUGCUGCAGGAUCCUGGUCCUCCAAGCGAAGGACUGGCAAAAUAUUUCCUUAGGAACUGUGGGUGUGGAACUGAGUCCUAGUUGGCCAGCCCCUCACCCUACCUACUGGAGUUAAAGACGGUGGGCUUGUGCUGCCAAAUUUCCAGGGAGGAUGUACUCGUCUACACAGCUAAACGUUCUCAAAACAUCAGCUUCGGGGGCGAGUCAGUGGGUGCGGGCGGUGCUGUGCCCGCGCGCUGUCUCUGCAGGUGUGAAAUUCCUGUCAUCAGCCUGUGAAUAAAUCGGCACUGCCUCUGGUUGGUCAGUUACUCGGAGGAAAACUCCCUGCUCCUGAGUGUUUCUACAUUCUGCCUUUGCCGCUCGGCCCCGCGUUGGUGUCAGUUUUUCACGAUAUCAUUUCAGGAAAAGAGGACAUUCUGUUUCACACCGCGACAGCUUUAGGCGGUGGAGAUGGAAACCGUGGGCCUCCAUUUUGGCAGCCAGCCCGAGGAAAUCUUCAAAAGCAAACACGGGAAUCCCUGCAAACCAGUCCCAGCUAAGAUUCCCAGGACAGUGCCUCUUCGUGCCCUCUGGACGUCAUCCCACCAGCUCUCACCUGAAUCCUGUCACCUCUGCCAUCUUGAAGUGAUCUGCGGACAAUGCUGAGCUGGACAGCCCCUGGUCAACCAGGCAGAACAGUCUAUGCAAAUGCUGGAGGCCUGCCCUGGGAACAGUGCACCCAUUGUCCUGGGCCUUUCAAAGCCCGGAGCAGCUGCUCAGACUCGCAGCCCUGGACCCUUGGCUGCCACAGCAAUGUCAUCACUGCAAGACAUCAGACUCUGAAAAUUAGACGACCCGAAUUCAUGAGCAGCCUGUCUUGAGUGUUUCUGUCUGUGACAUGUUUCAAGGUCCGGGGGCCCUUCUGUUGUUGGGGGCAGGAGGAGGACAGGGGCAGGGGAGAGUUUGCAGUCGCUUCUUACUAGGGAGCUUGGAAACCUUGCCGACUGUCCUUGGGCUUAUGAACUGGGGCAUCUGGCUCGAAGGAUUGAGUUUGAGGCUUAAGCGCUCUCUCUUGCUGCUGCUGCUUGCGAGUUUAAAUGCACUGAAAGGAGGCAGGAUGAAGCGAUGGAGCAGGCAUGCCAGCCAGGUGCUUGCACUUCUUGGGAGAGAAGCAGGCAGGCUGAUUGGUCAGCACUCUCCAACCACCUCAACUCAAGAGUUCCUUCACAAAAGCAUCAGUGCCUCCUUUAAUCACCUCCAUCCUUCCCCUUGCUCACCCCUGCCCUCCGAAACCAGGACUGAAAAGAAUCCUUGGUCCAACCUUUGGUGGUUCCUGGUGUGGGAGUUCGAGCCUGGGGACAGCAGCGGGUGGCUCAUAGCAUGCAGGCUGCCAGAACCUGAGAGUACAUCCCCCUGGUCUCCUGGCACAGGGCCUACUGGGGAGAAACUCCAAGGUUUUGGGGGAGGCUCGGGGCUUCGGGUAAGGCAGCUUCCCCUCUCCUUCAAAUAUGCUUGGUCCCAGGGACCUCUAGGGUAUUGUAUUUGGUUUUGUUUACUCUAACUCAAGCUGGCCUAGAACUCCUUGCAAUCCCCCUGCCUCAGCCUACUGAUGCUGGUGCCAUCCUGCUCUGCUGACAUGUUACUUGCCUCUCCACAGGACUCCAUCGCUGUCCUCUACGCCUCCUCACUGGGUGCAGCAUGUUCCCAGUGAACACCCGGGAAACCACCAGGCCUCUUAUAGCAGGAUCAAGCCCAAGACAGGAGGGUGUGUCCUCCUGUCCUAAGUAAGGCUUCCCCUGUGUGCCCAAGAUUUCUGAUAACCUGAACAGGAGGGCUUGGUUGGAUGUGAAGUUCAACAAAAUAUUGCUUUGCAAACCCAGGGAAAAAAAGUUGAAAAACAAGUGGAGAAGAGAUUCUUUAGACCACAAGGCUUAGUUGUUUGGGAUUGAGCCUCUGAGCAAUCCAGGCUGCCCCAAACCAGGCAGACUAUAGGGCAGCCACUGGGACAUUACUGCAGCGGGAAUGUCAGCCAGCACGAUUAUAUGGCACAGACCAGGUGGGCUCUCAGCACCUGUAGAUGCUUGGGGUAUCUACUGAAGGGGUGCAGAGGUUCUGGGUAGGAGGGUUGCUGGAGCGGGUAGCCAGAGAGACAUCGUGUGACAAGAAGGAUGUCUUCUCUGCAAAAGGAGCCUCCCCAUUUCUGUGUAACUGCCUUGCUCCCCUUUCCGAAUGCAUGUGGGCAUUCAAUCUCAUAUGACAGGCACACUUGCCCACACAGGGCCAGGCAUCGACCUUCAUGUGCUGCAAGUCAUUCAGAAGGGACAGACUCACACUCAAACAUAAGCCAUUCCCCCGUUGCACAGCUGUGUUCUGGCUGAAUCCUGGAUGGUUCGUUGGGCCUCACUACCUGGACCUCCAGGCAAAACUUGAAGAACUCCAGCUUAAGCACAUAGAACAGAGUAAAUGAGUCCAAGGGCCAGAAGGUCCAGGGCCUUCCCUUCUGCUGUCUCGGGGUCUGCUUGUGUGCCAGGUUGGACACCUCAAGGCUGGCUUGUCAGAUUGUUUUCUGUGCUUCCUGGUUUGCAUGCUCUGUCUGUAUUAUUCCUGGAUUGCUCUUGGCAUGCCACUUAGACUCCGAGUGACCCAGGAGGGUAGCUGGCCACCACAUACAGCUCCUGAGCACCCAAAAUUCAGAAGGUCAUACACUCUAGAUUUUAAAGCUGCUGAAUGAGAAAGAGCUCAGUGACUAUUUCAAAUGUUGGCUACAGAAAUGACUGCACUUGGGGUAUGUUGGAUUAAAUAAAACACAGUAUUGAAACCAGCUUCACUGCCCGCUGCUUUUGGGCAUCAAUGUAGCCUUGGUAGCUCCUCUUCUGUGGUUCCUGCCUUUCACUAGCGGUCUUUGGUCUUUCCAUGAUCCUGUAGGAAAUGGAAAAGGAAGAAGCAAAAGUAGGAGGGGAAAAAAAAGCAGGAGGCAGCUGGGUCCCCUUCCCGGGCCUUUCACAGUUACUCUGUAACAAUCAAAGCUUCCUCACUUUCACCAGCAGGAAAAAGAAGAGUCAGACAUUGCAGGGAUUGCUCGAAUUGUAAUUCUGUUUAUUUACAUUGGUGAUCUCAGGCAGCGGUCCAUGAACCCUGAAGCAGCCUUUGAAAUGUCUUGCUAGUAUGGCUGAAUGAUGGAGAAAUCUGAUUCUAGGUGUCACUGGGUGAAUUCCAUGGCGUUAUAAGGAAACCUCUCUGUGUUAUUUUCAAACUUUUGGUCAGCAUUUGACACUUUCUGGCUUUAAUUUUGUCUUGGAAAUGAGUCACCAGGUCUGACUGCCACCACUCAAACGAAAGGAGAAUUCUGAACAAAAAUUUGUCUUCUGGGAAAACGGUUUAUACCAACCAAGAAUGAGUUCCAUCUAGAAAUUCCUUUUUGGACUAACAUGAAGCUUUAGAACUGUAUGAAAUCAGAUUUGGCCCGGGAGGUCACAGACAAAUGGUUAGAAACUUUCAUUUCACAUUUAUUCAUUUAUUAGGAGGUGAGCGUGCUGUAGGGUACACAGAGGUCAGAGGGUAACUUCCAGGGGUCACUUUUCGCCUUCCAGCCUGUGGAACUAAACUCAGGUCAUCAGGCACUAAGUGCCUCUGCCUGCUGAGCCAUCUUGCCAGCCCAAGUAAACAUUAAUAUUAAAGAGCCCAAAGUACUCUACAUAAUAUUUUAGAUGCUAGAUGUCUGAAAGUAGUAAAAAAAAAAAAAUUGAAUUUUUGUUUUGUCAUUUGGUAAUAACAAAACUGCUCCAAGCUCAAUGUCUUUAAUAUAGUCUAUUAAAGUACACCAUGAAGAUUUUGUGUGCAUAGGUUUGGAGUAUGUACAAUAUAGUCCAAUAUAUUUAUUGGGGGGGGUUGUAUAAUCAAUAUGAAACAAUUCAGGAAAGUGUGAAGUUAAGUCCACCAUGCCAAUAAACUGGAAAUAUCUCAGAGAUAAUUUUGAAUAAAAUUGA